UCGUAGAUAUCAAGAUUCGUGGAUAAAAAAGGACUGUGUACCGAUUGGAAUUCUAUACUUCAUUCUUCUUGCUGACCAGUUUUUGUAAAAUUCCCAAAGUAAUGUUCCUGUGCUGCAGCUUUUGAUGAUCUCUGUAUAAGAACCUCAUUCUGUUUAGAAGUCAGUGUCAGAGUAUGAAGAAACUUCUCAGCUAUCUUCGUGGAGGAUUGGACAGAAGUAGAAACUCAGUAUGGGGCAGAAAGGCUUCUAUUGUCUAUGCUCUUGGAACAUGGACACUUUUAGGAUUAUUUUUUGUCCGGUGGAAACAGAAUCAGUUUAAGUUACCUCAAGUAGGGGCAUUGCCAUCUAUGACGGAAGAGGAGAAAGAGAAGCACAUAGCAGAACUAAAAUUAGAACAGAAAAAGAGAAGUGAAGAAAUCUGUAUUCACGUAGCAGAGAAUGUCUAUACACCAUUGGAUUUCAUGUCAUGAUGGUUAUUUCCACCAGUUAGUGUUCAAACAUAAGAAUGCAUGCAUGGGUUGAAAUUUCAUCACUCUGAGGUAUUUUUUUUCUACAAGUCACAAGAGUCAUAUGCACACUCUUUAUUAUUUGCGCUGACAUGCUCAGCUCUAGAAUGCAAACAAGUGUGUAUUUAAUCUCAAUUUUGGAUGCAUUGUAUCAGAUAUGAAGAAUAAGAACAAGACAAGGACUUCAUAGUGCACACAUUCAUGUAUGAGGCAUGUUUUAUAAUCUAUGGCUGCAGUGUUGUGAUGUUAGAAGGUUACCACAUUGCUUCUAGACUGCAGUCCAUAUUACUGGUCCAUGUUCAAAAUAAUAGGGCACAGGUUUUUUAUAUCAGUUACGAUGUCACAGACUUAUUGUGUAUUCAUAAUGUGUAAAUUAUGCACUCGGUUUGUGCCUCUUGCCGGCAUUGUGCUUGUUGCACCAUUAUUGAUACCCUAGACUGUACUGCAUUGCUACUCUAAUCUAUGUCCAUUUCACAUACUUGUUAGUGUAUGCUGGUACAUACACAAUAUCUGUCCUAUCCUAUUCAUAAAUGUAAUUCUUCUUUUCCCUUAAUAACAAAACAAGUUCAUGAAUCUAAUUGUUUCUCCUAAAUCAUGAGAAUUAUUCUGAGGAUUCCUGUAAGGUCAAAGAGAAUGUAUGUAAGUGAAAUCUCAAGUUUAUGAAUGUUUGGUGCUCAUUCAUAAAAGUUUAUAUUGCUGUACAGUACAAUUGAGGAGCAUAGGGUUAAAAACAAGUGGAGCGCCUCUGGCGGUCUCACCUGCAUUACAUGAUUCAAUAUAGCAGCAGUGCUGACUUUGAAAACUACUACAAAGUAAUUAUUCACAAAUGACUGAGAAGGAAUGCAGAAGGGUAAGAUGAAAACAUGUCACUGUGACCUGUACCUUUUGACCUAAAAAUCAAUAGGCUUCCUAGGGUCAAUGCUAGUAUCAUACACAUCAUAUUACAAUGUAUAUUAGUUUAGGUUACUGGUAAGUUAAACUUAAGUUAUUGUGUUUACAAGGAAAAGUUAAUGGACAAACGGACGGAUACCGAGUUUGAUGCCAUAACACAUCCUGCAGGACGGGCGUAUAAAAAUGAGAGGUUGUAAUCAUACCAUGGUCGAGCGAGCAAAACUUCAUGAACAAAGGAGGAAAUUGUAUUGUUUUCUGAUUUUUUUUGCUCCCGAACUGACCCUUGUUAUUUGAAGAAGAAAAAAUGACAGUUGUCUUUUUAUUACAUUAACUUAACUUAGUAUUUUAGACAAUCUCACCCUCGAAGUUGAAAAUGGUAUAAAAAUAAGAGCUAUGUAUACAUUUAGUUUAAAGCAAAAUAUGAAUGGAAGCAGUUUUUAAACAAUUUCUUUAAAUUUUAGGAAUUUUUCAGACUAGAUGUGUUAUUCAAUCUUGCAAAUUGAACAUAUUUCUGUGGUUGCUAGAUUUGAAGUUACCUGUGAAUAUAAUUAACUAAUAGCAGAUAUAUAGUCUUAAAGAGUUGUUUUUCCAAAUAUUUAUGUAAACUUUUGUUAAAAAGUCACAAAAAAAUUUUGAGCAUUAAUCAUGCAUCAAAAUAAAGGCAUGCCAAAUGUGAUCGUGUAGAAACAGAAAAUAGGGAAAGCCCUUGAAUAAACAAAUAAACAUA